GGAGGCCCCAUGGUCCAGUGGCACAGCAUCUGCUCAGUAUGCAGAAGGUCCCAGGUUCAAUGCCUGGCAUCUUCA
rnacentral:tRNA from 1 species